GCGACAGUAGGAAAAACAGCGAUCAGAAAACGCAACAAAAUCGUCAAAGGCAUGCAUUACCUGUGGUUGGCGAAAUCACAAUCAAUGCAGAUAUAAGCAGAACAGGUGUAAUGUAUGCAGUAAAAUCGGACACUUGGCAUCAGUUUGCUGAGAAGAAAAAACUAUUAAUUACAUAUCAGAACCUGAAUCUUCUAAUGAUGAGUUUAAUAAUGAUUUUUGUAGUUACAGCAUAAACCAAAACAUGGGUGACGAUUCAACUCAGCUCUACAGUGUUUCUAUCACAAUCAAUGUAGUCUCUAUGGAAGAUUUUUGUGAUUCAGGUUCAUCAUGCAGCCCAGUUUCCAAGCACUUUUUAAAGAAAAUAAAGCAAAAUGUGAGUCUUGACACUUGUAGUGAUCCUUACAUUGACUAUAAUGGCAACAGAAUUCAGGUAUUAGGAGAGUAUAAUGAAAUAAUUGAAUGCAAUGGCACAAAGAAGAAAAUUAAACUCGUAGUUACUAAUAACAACAAUUCCCCAUUAUUUGGUACACAUUUUUUGCGAGAAUUUGGGUUUGAGCUCGUACAAAUAAAUUCAAUUAGCGACUCCAAUCAAUCUUCCAUAAUUAUCGAAGAAAUUAAGAAUGAAUUCUACGAAGUUUUUAACAAUGGUCUAGGCGCUUAUAAGUUGGGAAAAAUUUUUCUUCUUCUUUUCUUAUAGAUAAUAACUACAAGUCAAUUUUUUUCACGCCAAAGGAAAGCUAAAAUUGAAAAAAGUUUGAGAGAAUUAGUUAAAAAUGAUGUAUUAAAGCCAAUUGACCAUACAGAAUGGUGCACUCCUCUCGUUCCUAUUAUAAAACCGAAUGGGGAUCUUAGAAUUUGUGGUGCCUACAAAGGUACAAUAAAUUAAUACCUCUCCGAUUUUAAGUACCCGCUGCCUCUGAUUGACGAAAUGUUUGCGUCACUUCAAGGCGGUAACCUGUUUUCAAAGCUAGACCUAUCUAACGCCUACAAACAAUUGAUUCUCGAUGAAAACUCACAGCAAUUAUGUACGUGGUCAACUCACAUUGGCACAUUCAAGAAGAAACGUUUGCCUUUUGGGGUAAAACCUGCUGCUGCCAUAUUUCAAAAGACGAUGGAAAAUUUAUUAAGUUAUAUACCUUUUGUGGUCGUAUAACUGUAUCAGGCAGAGAUAUGCAACAGCACAUAAACAACUUAAGAGCAGUGAUUUGCAAAUUAAAGACGGCAGGUCCCAAGCUGAACUUAUCAAAAUGUGAAUUUUUCAAGUCUAGUAAUGACAAGGACGGACAUCUAGGUGUGGAUACGACAAUCGACCGUAUUCAGAACUUCCUUUGGUUCCCGCGAAUACGAAAUUUUGUAAAUGCCUACAUCAAAUCUUGCGUCGAUUGUGCCUGCAACAAAAUCCCGACCGGAAAGAAAGGAGUAUAUAGCUACGGCGACAUGGAGCCGAUCCCAUUUGAAACGAUCCAUUUAGAUCUCCUUGGUCUUUUUCCGAAAAGUUCACCUAGAAAUGAGCACAUAAUGGUUUGGUUGGUUCUUUCACCAAAUUUACUAUAAUUAGCGCUACCAAGAGUACUGCGACCAAACACGUGCUAGCAGUCCUUGACGAAGUAAUCAGCUACAUUGGAGUCCCUCAACGCUUUGUAACGGAUCGUGGAACAUCGUUCACAUCCAAAGAGUUUACUAAAUACUGUAAAGAUUACGAUAUUAAUCGUAUCCAAAACACAUUUCGCACACCACGAGCGAAUGGUAACGCUGAACGAACUAACAGAACAUUGUUAAGCAUGCUCCGAACGACGACGCAAUCAGAGAAGAAUUGGGAAGACAAACUACGUAAUUUCCAAUGAGUUAUCAACACAACGCGCAAGCAAAUGAUAGCUCGAACCCCAUAUGAGUUGGUGUAUUCAUUCAAGCCACGCGAUAUACUUAAAAACAAACUAACAACGAUUCUACAUGACUGUAACUCACAAGACGUUGAUAUCAAUGAUUUUAGACACGCGGCAGCAGAUCGAGUUACACGACAUGGUCUUGGCCGAGAACGAACCAGCCAUCACGUUCGAAUCACGAAAGUUGGAGCAACGUUACAAAGGCCCCUUCAUUAUAAGCAAAGUCCUUGAUCGAGAUCGAUACGUCAUAAUUUAUCUUCCAGAUUCAGGCAAACAACGUCAUUACACAUCUAUAUACGCUUCAGAUAAGCUUCGACCGUGGUGUAAUCUACCAGCUCUCGACGAACAAAUUAACGAGGGUGCCGAAAGCACCGAUGAAGAUGACAAUUAAUAGCGAGGACGGCUGUAUAGUCAGGAGUGGCCGAUUGUAAACAUAUGGCAACUCUAGACAAGCGGUUAACAUUUUCCGAGCGUUCAACAUUUUUGAGUCAGUCAACGUUUGUAAGACAACGAGUACAGUAUACAUAUACAGUAAUAAACCUUUUUUAGUACUCCUCGGGGGUAAAAUCUGAUCAGAGUUGAUAACGAGAAGGAGCAUGAAUUUUGCUGAUUCAGAGUUGUAAACAAAAUUACUGUGGCAUGAAAGGGGGCAACAACCGGACUUUGGCAGACUGGCACAGGCAAUUUUCUUGUAGCCAGAGGGAGUGGCAUGUGUGGCUCAUUAAAAUCUACUCAUCAUGUUGGAGCAGCUCCGGGUAAUGGACUAUUGAAUGUGCUAGCUCCAAGCAAAUGCAUGUCCUGAAUUUAUACGUGUUUUUGAGGAGCUCAGGAUAAUGGUCGCUCAAACUUGGGAGUGCUUAAUGAAAUAUCUGGGCGGAUGCACUGGCAGGCAUUGGAGUCUCUAUAACUCUACAAACCUCGUUUUUUUUUUAAUAAAAAGCUAAGUAUAUUCGGAAAGUUAGGAUUUUACUUGAUAAAUUUACAAAAUAAAACAAAAUUCACGUUUUUCAUAAAAAUAUAAUCUUACAAUGGAUAUUUUUUUAAUUUUAAACCUACAUUUUAGAAAACACCAUUCAGUGCUAUCAUUACGAUUUGAGUGUUCCAGUUUAUGAAUAACAAGCGUUAAUUAUGUACAUACUUAACUAUUGAUCUCUUAAUUAAGCAUUGAUAUUAUACUUAACCUACAUUAUGUUCAUAAAUAACACAUAAUUAUACAUACAUAUUUUAAAAACGAUGCACACAACCCAAAAGCUCUCCUCCGAGACCAAGUGGUGAAAAACUGCAAAAAGGUUUAUUGCUGUAUAUACCAGGGUUGUUGCGAAUAUUCGCAUUCGCAACCGCGGAGC